GUUGACCCUAAAACCCUUCAAAUUAGACCUUUCAGAGUCUGUCUUUUACAACCUCUCUGAAAGGAAAAAAAACAAGGACAACAUCACCUUGUUAAACAAGCAGCUUCGUCACACGGCAGCCUGACGUAGCAGUCUUUCAACGUGACAUGGCCUCAACAUGGAUCUGUGGCCUUGAGAUGAUUCCAGAAGUGGUUUUGCAGCCUUAAGAACCUCAAGAUGAAGCCUCGUGCAGUCUGGAGUCAAGGCCUGGCUCACUGCCCGCAAGGAUUGGCUCGGAAGGUUUUAACUUCUUCAAUUGUUGAUGGAUGAGAAAUUUCAGCAGCACCUUCGAAGAAAUAUCAGAUGCCUGAAGAGCAUUUAUAAGGACUAUUUGGAGCCAUUGGCAAGGGAAGAGAACCCGCUGUGUGCCAUCUGAUAUCAGAGUGUGAUAAGAUAUUCCAAUGGACCCAGUCCAGUGCUGGAGGAUAAGGAUGAUCCAAUACUGGCAGCCGAUGAGAGAAUCCAGCCAUGGGCAAUGACAAGCAGGCGUCCCGGAUUAACAAAUAUCCGACUUGUGAGCGAUUCCAUACAGAGAGGUCAUUUUAAAGAUCCGACAUAUAAACAUUUCUGUAUAUACAAACAGCUGCUUUCCAUUGUUUGGCAUUGUGUUCCCACUUGCAAACAAAUUGAUUUGUGAACAGGUUCCAGAAUGGAAUCCAUUUGUAACUCAGGCACUGUUGUAUAUGUUUCCACUGGUGACAUCGACAGCAGGUAUCGACAGAUUUACUUCCAUAUAGCCAUUGAUUGAGUCUGCUUGGCUACCAACCGACAUGUUUUUUGCUUGGACUAUAAAUUAUGAUAAUUUGAAAUUUGACAUUCUUGUGUUUGUUCUGUGCAAGAAGAGAAGUUCAGUGAUGUUGGAGUGUUACAUAAAUUCUAAAGCAGGCAGACUAUGUCACUUUAAGACAUUAUGACAUGUGACAUCCACUUCAGUCUGAGCAGUCAGUAAUGUAAGUGCCAAUCAUCACAACAAGUACAAUAAUAACAGCUUACUUGCAGUUCCUGUAUCCAUACUCUAUAUACUAAGAUCAGAACAACAGCAUGUGCAAGUCUGAUAUCUUACAG